rnacentral:rRNA from 1 species
ACGUAGGGGGCGAGCGUUGUCCGGAAUUACUGGGCGUAAAGAGCACGUAGGCGGGAACUUAAGUCAGGUGUGAAAGACCGAGGCUCAACCUCGGGGUGGCACUUGAAACUGGGUUUCUUGAGGGCAGGUGAGGAAAGCAGAAUUCCUGGUGGAGCGGUGAAAUUCGUAGAAAUCAGGAGGAUUACCAGUAGCGAAGGCGGCUUUCGGGGCUGACCCUGUCUGUUAGGUGCGAAGGCGUGGGUAGCGAACAU